AGUGAACGCUGGCGGUAGGCCUAACACAUGCAAGUCGAACGGCAGCACAGUAAGAGCUUGCUCUUACGGGUGGCGAGUGGCGGACGGGUGAGGAAUACAUCGGAAUCUACUUUUUCGUGGGGGAUAACGUAGGGAAACUUACGCUAAUACCGCAUACGACCUACGGGUGAAAGCAGGGGAUCUUCGGACCUUGCGCGAUUGAAUGAGCCGAUGUCGGAUUAGCUAGUUGGCGGGGUAAAGGCCCACCAGGGGGACGAUCCGUAGCUGGUCAGAGAGGAUGGUAGGCGGCACUAGAACUGAAACACGGACCAGACUCCUACGAGAGGGCGCAGUCUGGAAUAUUAGGCAAUAGGCGCAAGCCUGAUCCAGCCAUACCGCGUGGGUGGAGACAGCCUUCGGGUUGUAAAGCCCUUUUGUUGGGAGAGAAAAGCAGCAGGUUAAUACCAAGCUGUUGUGACGGUACCCAAAGAAUAAGCACCGGCUAACUUCGUG
rnacentral:rRNA from 1 species